rnacentral:rRNA from 1 species
AUACGUAGGGUGCAAGCGUUAUCCGGAAUUAUUGGGCGUAAAGCGAGUGCAGGCGGUCUUUUAAGUCUGAUGUGAAAGCCUUCGGCUUAACCGAAGAAGGGCAUCGGAAACUGGGAGACUUGAGUGCAGAAGAGGAGAGUGGAACUCCAUGUGUAGCGGUGAAAUGCGUAGAUAUAUGGAAGAACACCAGUGGCGAAGGCGGCUGUCUGGUCUGUAACUGACGCUGAGGCUCGAAAGUAUGGGUAGC